AGUUAAUGAAUUUGUUAAAAUAUGUAUUUUGAAUAUACAUUAAAGAGAUUAAAUUUUUCUAUUAACUU
rnacentral:tRNA from 1 species